UCCUGGUGGCCGCCGCCGCGGCGUCCUCCCUCCUCGCGUCGUCCUCCGCCGUCCUCGUCCACGCCGCGCAUGACCCGGGUGUGUCCUGCGACCAGCUCCCGGUCGCCGAGGCCACCACCGGCUUCCAGCCGCUCACCGUCGAUGCCGACGGCGGCCUCAGCGUCCCUCCCCACCUGAUCCACCCCGCCAUCCUCGCCGACGCCACCGACAACCCCGCCGUCCAGCGCACGGUACGACGUCACGGUGGUCUUCCGCGCCACCGCCCGCCUCGGCCCGCCCCGCCUCCAGUACUAAGUCGUCCCGGCCGACGCCAGCGUCCCGAUCUCCGGCGGCGCUGACGACACCAAAGCCCGUGCUGACGUGGGCCUGAUCAUGUUCUUCCUGGGUCUUCUCUUGGGCGCCUUCCUCGGCGCCAUGAGCGUCCUCAUCCACAAAAGCAACCUCCUCGGCGACGACGACAACGAGUCCUCCGGCGACGGCGCCAUCCCGAAGAAUCCCAAGAUCGUCCUCGCUCAGGCUGCGGGCGCCGCCAAGGCCCGCGGCGGCUACUGAGGCGCCGGCCGAUCACGGCGUACGGCGCUUCGUUCUGUUGAUCAUUGCGACUGUGCUGCGUUUUCGCUGCUAGCUACCCCGUUGUAGUUAAGCUCGGUCGUGCUCGUGCCCUG
rnacentral:lncRNA from 1 species